GCCGGCAGCUCCUUCCCAUGUACCGUACGUUUACACCACGGGGACGAAGGAAGGUUCUAGAGGCACAUGCAUGCAUGCAUGUGUACGCUAGCUGGCUCCGGCGAGCGCGCGCGCGUGUGUCGUCGCCGCCGCUGCCGCCGCCGAAUAAGUGCGCCGUACCUCCUCCGUACGUGUACACAGGCACCAGCGCGGCCGCUAAAGCUCGAUCGAGCUGGCUUCAAAAUCAAUGGGCCGGACGCACGCACGCACGCAACCAUGCAUGCAUCCCUUUCCCCGUGUAAACACAGUGAACUAG
rnacentral:lncRNA from 1 species